CAUAGCGACUAUCGUGGCAUAUCAAUAAGCGGAGGAAAAGAAACUAACAAGGAUUCCCUUAGUAACGGCGAGUGAAGCGGGAAGAGCUCAAAUUUGAAAUCCUCAAGGUUUUACCUUGACGAAUUGUAGUUUAAAGAAGUGUUUUCUGUUGGAGUUUCGGUAAAAGUUCUUUGGAAUAGGACAUCAUAGAGGGUGAGAAUCCCGUAUUUGGUCAUUCCUCCUAGCUGUUGUGAUACACUUUCAACGAGUCGGAUUGUUUGGGAAUGCAGUCCAAAAUGGGUGGUAAAUUUCAUCUAAAGCUAAAUAUUGGCGAGAGACCGAUAGCGAACAAGUACCGUGAGGGAAAGAUGAAAAGAACUUUGAAAAGAGAGUUAAACAGUACGUGAAAUUGUUAAAAGGGAAGCGUUUGACACCAGUGUUGUUUUCUCGAAAAUCAAUUAAAAAAGGCCGGAUUUUGUGUUGUAUUGACCUUAAAAGCUUUCUUCACUCUUUUCUUGUCUUUUUUAAUGCACUUUUCGUUUAACAAGUCAACAUCAGUUUCUUUUGUUGUAAAAGGGUCAUUGGAAGGUGGCUUUCUUUUCGGAGAAAGUGUUUAUAGCCUUUGAUCUCUGCAACCGGAGAGACUGAGGUCUGCAGCGUAGACUCUUCGGGGUUAAAUACAUUUGUGCUAAGCUAUAGCUUUUUAUAGACAACUUGUUGACUAUAUUUAGUCUUGUGGCUUACUCGCUUAUGCUAUUUUACCUACGCUUAGGAUGUUGAUAGUCACAGCGUGUAC
rnacentral:rRNA from 1 species